GAUGCUGCCUCUCUCAGACACAUGGGCACCGUCCGGAUAAGGCGCCGCGUGAGCAGCCCGGCCGUCUGUGCGGAGCCCUGGAGGCUGACGGGGUCUCCCAGACCAGCUCCCGCGCUCCACGCUGCGGAACCGUGGCCCCGCCCACUGGCCUCUGGGCACCUUCUCUGCACUGGCCUCGGCUCUCCCCUCUGGACCCAAACGCAGGCUCAUUCCCUGAGAACAGAGGCCUCCCCGUCUGACCCGCCCAGGGCCACCAGGACCCGUGUGUUCUGUGCUUCAGGCAGGUGCCUAGCCCCCUGCAGGGGUCGCCCUUGUUCAACAGCCAACAGCUGGGGGGCCGCUCAGGCCUACAGCGAGCACGUCAACCUCGCGGCCGCACGCGCCCAGCCGAUAUGACGGGACGUAGAAACGUUUUAAUAAAAUUCCGUAACUUA